rnacentral:rRNA from 1 species
CCUACGGGUGGCAGCAGUGGGGAAUAUUGCACAAUGGGGGAGACCCUGAUGCAGCGACGCCGCGUGAGUGAAGAAGUAAUUCGUUAUGUAAAGCUCUAUCAGCAGGGAAGUAAAUGACGGUACCUGAGUCAGAAGCCCCGGCUAACUACGUGCCAGCAGCCGCGGUAAUACGUAGGGGGCAAGCGUUAUCCGGAUUUACUGGGUGUAAAGGGAGCGUAGACGGUUUGCCAAGUCUGGAGUGAAAGGACGCAGCUUAACCGCGGAAGUGCUUUGGAAACUGGCGAACUGGAGUGCGGGAGGGGUAAGCGGAAUGCGUAGUGUAGCGGUGAAAUGCGUAGAUAUUAGGAGGAACACCGGUGGCGAAGGCGGCUUACUGGACCGUAACUGACGUUGAGGCUCGAAAGCGUGGGGAGCAAACAGGAUUAGAUACCCGUGUAGUC